AAAAUCCAGUCUGACUUUGGCCAACAAUAAGCAGCUGCAAUUCUCUCAAAAGUGGUCAGAAAGUGUUCAUUAUCAUCUUCAACAGUUAAUUUUUCCAAUUUAGGAUGAUGAAUGUGCACAGACUGACCUAUUGAGCUGGAAGCUGAAUCCUCAGGUUGAGAUGUUGCUUGAAUCUGAUGAUCAGUUUGAGUUUCAACAGGCUGUGGAUCAGUUGAUGUGGCUCAGGGGGCGGGGUUGUCCUGGCAUGCAUUUCCAUCUGCAAAAGCCGAAACUGAUGUUGCAAACACUUGAAACACUGUUCUUGCUGUGCAGAAACCUCUCUCUGUUUUUUCUCUCGAACUUCCUGUUGUCCCAUGAAGGCCUGAAGAAUUCCAGCAAUAUCAUGCAGAGUUGGUUCUCUGGUCUCAUCAUUCUCUGUCUCCAGCUGCUGCUGUAGCUCCUCCUUCUAUUUCCUCCCUCUCUGACUGCUGGGAAACCUCUUUGGUCUCAACCUUGUUUCCUUUUCUUGGGCGCACACCAUUCUGCAUGGUUCAAAAAUUUGUUGGGGGGGUUAGUAAAAAAAAUUACUCACAAAAAUCAAAAAAUAGAAAAAAAAUCCUGCCUCCCCAACUCAAAAUCCCCACUUCUGACACCACAUGUGAUGGACUGAGUUAAAAACAGGAGGAGUCACAGGACAUAUUAGAAAAAUAGUUUUUUUAUUUUAACCCAAAGAUUAUAAAUAACAAAA